GGCGGCGUAGCCAAGAGGUAAGGCAACGGUCUGCAAAACCGUCAUACCCCGGUUCGAUUCCGGGCGCCGCCUCCA
rnacentral:tRNA from 1 species